GCCAGGGAAUCCAUCGCUCAGUGGGUAGAGCAUUGCAUGCAGAAGAUCCUGGGUUCAAUUCCCAGCACCUCCAGGCA